CCUGAGAGACAGGGGCGUCUGGCGUAAGCCGGGCUGAGAAGCACCCUUUGAACCUGAACCAGAUCAUGCUGGCGGAGGGAGUCGCUCGGGUGUCGCG
rnacentral:ncRNA from 2 species